rnacentral:rRNA from 1 species
UACGUAGGGUGCAAGCGUUGUCCGGAAUUAUUGGGCGUAAAGAGCGUGUAGGCGGCCAGAUAAGUCCGCUGUGAAAUCUCGAGGCUCAACUUCGAGCUGUCGGUGGAAACUAUCUGGCUAGAGUCCGGAAGAGGAGAAUGGAAUUCCCGGUGUAGCGGUGAAAUGCGCAGAUAUCGGGAAGAACACCCGUGGCGAAGGCGGCUUUCUGGGACGGUACUGACGCUGAGACGCGAAAGCGUGGGGAGCGAACAGG